rnacentral:rRNA from 1 species
GACGAACCGUGCGAACGUUAUUCGGAAUCAUUGGGCUUAAAGAGCGUGUAGGCGGCCAGGUAGGUCUGCUGUGAAAACUCGAGGCUCAACCUCGAGACGUCGGCGGAAACCAUCUGGCUAGAGUCCGGAAGAGGAGAGUGGAAAUCCUGGUGUAGCGGUGAAAUGCGCAGAUAUCAGGAAGAACACCCGUGGCGAAGGCGGCUCUCUGGGACGGUACUGACGCUGAGACGCGAAAGCGUGGGGAGCGAACAGG